rnacentral:rRNA from 1 species
AACCACCUGGGGAGUACGAUCGCAAGGUUGAAACUCAAAGGAAUUGACGGGGGCCCGCACAAGCGGAGGAACAUGUGGUUUAAUUCGAUGAUACGCAAGGAACCUUACCUGGGCUUAAAUGUAGAUUGCAUAUCUUAGAGAUAGGAUUUUCCUUCGGGACUAUCUACAAGGUGCUGCAUGGUUGUCGUCAGCUCGUGCCGUGAGGUGUCGGGUUAAGUCCCAUAACGAGCGCAACCCCUAUCGUUAGUUGCUAGCAGGUAAUGCUGAGGACUCUAGCGAGACUGCCACCGUAAGGUGCGAGGAAGGUGGGGAUGACGUCAAAUCAGCACGGCCCUUAUGUCCAGGGCUACACACGUGUUACAAUGGCAGGUACAAAGGGCAGCUACACAGCGGUGUGAUGCUAAUCUCUAAAGCCUGUCCCAGUUCGGAUUGGAGUCUGCAACCCGACUCCAUGAAGUUGGAUUCGCUAGUAAUCGGAUAUCAGCCAUGAUCCGGUGAAUACGUUCCCGGGCCUUGUACACACCGCCCGUCAAACCAUGGAAGCUGGGGGUGCCUGAAGUCUGUGACCGCAAGGAGCGGCCUAGGGUAAAACUAGUAACUAGGGUUAAGUCGUAACAAGGUAGCCG